GUCCUUCCUUUUAAUAGUCAAUUUACAAACAAGUGUAAUUUUGAUAAGCAAAUACUUAAUGAACAAAAUAAGAUACGGACACAACAAUUGCUUUUAUACACGUUAUAUAUGUGUUGGCAAGCAAAAUAAUCAUAUGCGAUCAUUAAUAUUUUUCAAUUUUAUUUUUGGGACAACACCCUCAUAUCUCACCUGUCGUAUUCGUUCUAAACUGUAGGUGUAGACAAUAAUUUAUUAUUGAAAAGGUCUAUUAAAAGUUUGCAAUUAUCACAUUGAUGAUUUGGACAAAUCAAGACCAAUGUCUUGCAAGUUUCGUACUUUUUGGACGUUGUCAGUUUGAGACGCUACUAAAGUCUUCUCAAAAACCAAUUGAUAAUUUUCUUAUUCUGUAUUCAAACAUUUUAUCAUAUAUAAAAGCAGUUGUAAUGCUUCUCCUUAGAAGCCUUUAAAAUAAAAAGUACGGUUCGGACUCAUUUUACAAUUAGUAGACAAAACAGAGAAAAACAAUUGCGAUAUUCGCGAUCUAAUCAUGUCCCGAAAUAUUUCUUCUCAAUGUUAUAUGCAAAUGAUAGAAAUGAAGAUAACAACCGUAAAUAUUUCUUGAAUAGUUUACUAAAUUAUCUUAUCUUUAUAAUCACGGUGGGUAUGGUUGUCCUGCGAGAGAACGUUCUGUGCUGGUGAUUCGGUCCUGACGGGUGCUGGUGGGUCCUGAUUCUGUGCUUGUGGGUUUGUUUACAUUGUGUCAGAAUGGCAAUAAAACAACCGUUUUGUUACUUAAUUUUUCUCUGAUACGUCAUAAGUACCAUAACAAGCAUAUUACAACAAUAUUUUAUUACAAAAGUCGUGAAAGUUCGCUAAACGAAAUUGUCCUGACGCUGUGCUGGUGAUUUAAAAAACGGUCCUGGUUCUGUGCUCCUAUGUCCUGGUUCUGUGCCUUUAUAUUUAAGUCAAAAGUGGCAAAUAUUCCAGAUUAUUGAUGCUUAACUGUAAUUGACUAUAUCUAGCUGUUAUCUGUUUAAAAUAAACAUUAUUGUGACUAUGUUUUCUGUUAUUAUGAAAAAAAAUAACCCAUAAUUUUUUAAUUUAUUGUUUUCUGUUUUCUCAUUUAAAAUGAUUAAAAAAGCUGUUAUCGGUUAUCAUUAUUUCAAUGAACUGAAAUUUAAAUAAAAAUAUGUAGAAGACUUACAAAGCCAAGAGUCUCCUGACUCAGUGGCGGAUGCAGGAAUUUUCGAAAGGGGGGGUGCUAGCCCAGGGCAAAGGGGGGGUGCAGGUGGGGUGCAAACAUAUGUCCCGAUUCAAAUGCAUUGAUCGGCCAAAAUAAAGGGGGGGUGCGGACCCCCGGAACCCCCCCUCUGGAUCCGCCACUGCUGACUUGGGCCGGGCGCUAAAAUGCUUGAGGAUUUAACAUGUUUCGUAUACGAAUCAGACACAAUCAAAGUUGAUCAAGGCAAACAAUCGGAUUCAGGUGAGCCUGAACACCUCUUAGAUGAGUUUAAAUAAUAAAUUCAGUGUAAUCUAAGCAUCCUGAAUAAUGUUUCUCUGACAAAGGAGUAGGACCGAUUUUGGCCUCAAAUUUCAGGUUCAUCUGACGAAAGAUUU
rnacentral:lncRNA from 1 species